CAAGCUAUACUUGCAGGGAUCAUUUCUAGAGUUUCUGACUGAGGAAUGUGUUUAUAAAGGUUGUUUGGUCUCGAUGAUCACGAUGAUCUAAUCGUGAUUUCAUUUCUGAGCGUGGGAACCAAUUAGAAGAGUAAUGAUUCAUCAUAUGCUUCUCAGUCACAUGAUGAUUGUACUUUUACAUCUUUAUUGGAUUGUUCGAGGGAACGGAAAUAUGAUCAGAGAAGA